rnacentral:rRNA from 1 species
UGGGGAAUUGUUCGCAAUGGGCGCAAGCCUGACGACGCAACGCCGCGUGGAGGAUGAAGAUCUUCGGGUCGUAAACUCCUUUCGAUCGAGACGAACGGCCUCCGGGUUAACAGCCCGGGGGAGUGACGGUACCGAGAGAAGAAGCCCCGGCUAACUCCGUGCCCGCAGCCGCGGUAAUACGUAGGGUGCAAGCGUUAAUCGGAAUUACUGGGCGUAAAGCGUGCGCAGGCGGUUGUGCAAGACAGGUGUGAAAUCCCCGGGCUUAACCUGGGAACUGCACUUGUGACUGCACAGCUGGAGUGCGGCAGAGGGGGAUGGAAUUCCGCGUGUAGCAGUGAAAUGCGUAGAUAUGCGGAGGAACACCGAUGGCGAAGGCAAUCCCCUGGGCCUGCACUGACGCUCAUGCACGAAAGCGUGGGGAGCAAA